GCGCUAUGGCUUUUCAAGUGCCCAAUGAAUCGAGAGAUUUUUAUCAAUACCAAGAACCCAAGGAUUAGGCUUUUUUGGUUGAAAGAGGAGAUUGCUGCAAUUGAGAGAUCAUAAGGUAUCCAUCUUUGCCAUGUAGUUUCUUAUGAUAUGCUAGCUAGACAUCCAAUGAUUUCUACUAGGCUUUCUUUGCUAUGCAUAUAGUAGCAGCUAGUGAACUUUGUUAGACACUUGAUUGUAACCUUAGUUCAAUCAGUUGGCCUGAAGCUAGAACUUGCUCUGUUGGUAGCUAUAAUUAGAAAGAGGAUGCAGAGAUAGUACUACCAGCUUGCCAAGUGCCUAGCUACUUAAUGAUUUUAUUUCUUUACUUUCUUUUCUCUAUUGCUUUGAUUAGGAUAUGUUGUCAUUCAUGUGAACUUUUGGCAAUCUGCUUGACAAAUGAUUUACUCAUCAGGGAAGUAACUUGUCGUACAUCAUCAAAAGAGCCAAGCCCGGCCUUUAAGAGGGAAUGCAAUCAUGGCUAGACACAUUAUGAACUAUUUCUGUAAUUUUCCUUUUGUACCAUCCAUGUACAGUGCCAUGUAUUACCCCCUUACUAAUGAAAAUCGAGUUACAGUAGGGAUUUUCCCUAUUGUGUUUGCCCAAAAAAAGUAACUUGUCGUAGCAGGAGUGUGUGCCUAAUCUUGUUAUUAGUAUUAGGUGCAUAUGAUUAGGUCAUGUGAUUGGGUUCAUGUUAAUUUGCAAAAUACACCAUCAGAUUGCACAUUUUCAAGCAUAUUGGUUGGGUUCCUGAACAGUCUUG
rnacentral:lncRNA from 1 species